rnacentral:rRNA from 1 species
AUUGAACGCUGGCGGCAUGCUUUACACAUGCAAGUCGAACGGCAGCGCGGGGGCAACCCUGGCGGCGAGUGGCGAACGGGUGAGUAAUGUAUCGGAACGUAUCCUGUAAUGGGGGAUAACCAGUCGAAAGAUUGGGUAAUACCGCAUACGCACGAGAGUGGAAAGUAGGGGAUCGCAAGACCUUACGUUAUAGGAGCGGCCGAUAUCUGAUUAGCUAGUUGGUGGGGUAAAGGCCUACCAAGGCGACGAUCAGUAGCUGGUCUGAGAGGAUGUACGGCCACACUGGGACUGAGAUACGGCCCAGACUCCUACGGGAGGCAGCAGUUGGGAAUCUUAGGCAAUGGACGAAAGUCUGACCUAGCGACGCCGCGUGAGGGAAGAAGGCCUUCGGGUUGUAAACCUCUGUCAUGGGGGAAGAAGUAAGUGACGGUACCCCAAGAGGAAGCCCCUGCUAACUACGUG